rnacentral:tRNA from 1 species
GGAGGCAUGGCUUAGUGGUAGAGUACUUGCCUAGCAACCACAAAGCCCUGAGUUCAAAUCCCAGUAACUCCA